rnacentral:rRNA from 1 species
CAUCCUUUGCUGAGGAUACGGUUAACGGAGCGCAAGCGACGUUCAACCUCAAAAGAAGCAGAGGGGGCUUAGUGGUGGGGUGACUGCGUACCUUUUGUAUAAUGGGUCAGCGACUUAUAUUCUGUAGCAAGGUUAACCGUAUAGGGGAGCCGGAGGGAAACCGAGUCUUAACCGGGCGUUAAGUUGCAGGGUAUAGACCCGAAACCCGGUGAUCUAGCCAUGGGCAGGUUGAAGGUUGGGUAACACUAACUGGAGGACCGAACCGACUAAUGUUGAAAAAUUAGCGGAUGACCUGUGGCUGGGGGUGAAAGGCCAAUCAAACCGGGAGAUAGCUGGUUCUCCCCGAAAGCUAUUUAGGUAGCGCCUCGUGAAUUCAUCUCCGGGGGUAGAGCACUGUUUCGGCUAGGGGGCCAUCCCGGCUUACCAACCCGAUGCAAACUGCGAAUACCGGAGAAUGUUAUCACGGGAGACACACGGCGGGUGCUAACGUCCGUCGUGAAGAGGGAAACAACCCAGACCGCCAGCUAAGGUCCCAAAGUCAUGGUUAAGUGGGAAACGAUGUGGGAAGGCCCAGACAGCCAGGAUGUUGGCUUAGAAGCAGCCAUCAUUUAAAGAAAGCGUAAUAGCUCACUGGUCGAGUCGGCCUGCGCGGAAGAUGUAACGGGGCUAAACCAUGCACCGAAGCUGCGGCAGCGACACUCAGGUGUUGUUGGGUAGGGGAGCGUUCUGUAAGCCUGCGAAGGUGGCCUGUGAGGGUUGCUGGAGGUAUCAGAAGUGCGAAUGCUGACAUAAGUAACGAUAAAGCGGGUGAAAAGCCCGCUCGCCGGAAGACCAAGGGUUCCUGUCCAACGUUAAUCGGGGCAGGGUGAGUCGACCCCUAAGGCGAGGCCGAAAGGCGUAGUCGAUGGGAAACGGGUUAAUAUUCCCGUACUUGGUGUUACUGCGAAGGGGGGACGGAGAAGGCUAUGUUGGCCGGGCGACGGUUGUCCCGGUUUAAGCGUGUAGGUGUGUGUUCCAGGUAAAUCCGGUUCACUUUAACACUGAGGCGUGACGACGAGGCACUACGGUGCUGAAGCAACAAAUGCCCUGCUUCCAGGAAAAGCCUCUAAGCAUCAGGUAACAUCAAAUCGUACCCCAAACCGACACAGGUGGUCAGGUAGAGAAUACCAAGGCGCUUGAGAGAACUCGGGUGAAGGAACUAGGCAAAAUGGUGCCGUAACUUCGGGAGAAGGCACGCUGACAUGUAGGUGAAGUGAUUUACUCAUGGAGCUGAAGUCAGUCGAAGAUACCAGCUGGCUGCAACUGUUUAUUAAAAACACAGCACUGUGCAAACACGAAAGUGGACGUAUACGGUGUGACGCCUGCCCGGUGCCGGAAGGUUAAUUGAUGGGGUCAGCGCAAGCGAAGCUCCUGAUCGAAGCCCCGGUAAACGGCGGCCGUAACUAUAACGGUCCUAAGGUAGCGAAAUUCCUUGUCGGGUAAGUUCCGACCUGCACGAAUGGCGUAAUGAUGGCCAGGCUGUCUCCACCCGAGACUCAGUGAAAUUGAACUCGCUGUGAAGAUGCAGUGUACCCGCGGCAAGACGGAAAGACCCCGUGAACCUUUACUAUAGCUUGACACUGAACAUUGAGCCUUGAUGUGUAGGAUAGGUGGGAGGCUUUGAAGUGUGGACGCCAGUCUGCAUGGAGCCGACCUUGAAAUACCACCCUUUAAUGUUUGAUGUUCUAACGUGGACCCGUGAUCCGGGUUGCGGACAGUGUCUGGUGGGUAGUUUGACUGGGGCGGUCUCCUCCUAAAGAGUAACGGAGGAGCACGAAGGUUGGCUAAUCCUGGUCGGACAUCAGGAGGUUAGUGCAAUGGCAUAAGCCAGCUUGACUGCGAGCGUGACGGCGCGAGCAGGUGCGAAAGCAGGUCAUAGUGAUCCGGUGGUUCUGAAUGGAAGGGCCAUCGCUCAACGGAUAAAAGGUACUCCGGGGAUAACAGGCUGAUACCGCCCAAGAGUUCAUAUCGACGGCGGUGUUUGGCACCUCGAUGUCGGCUCAUCACAUCCUGGGGCUGAAGUAGGUCCCAAGGGUAUGGCUGUUCGCCAUUUAAAGUGGUACGCGAGCUGGGUUUAGAACGUCGUGAGACAGUUCGGUCCCUAUCUGCCGUGGGCGCUGGAGAACUGAGGGGGGCUGCUCCUAGUACGAGAGGACCGGAGUGGACGCAUCACUGGUGUUCGGGUUGUCAUGCCAAUGGCACUGCCCGGUAGCUAAAUGCGGAAGAGAUAAGUGCUGAAAGCAUCUAAGCACGAAACUUGCCCCGAGA